CAGUCGCCGCGGGAAUACGUAGGUGGCAAGCGUUGUCCGGAAUUAUUGGGCGUAAAGGGCUCGCAGGCGGUUUCUUAAGUCUGAUGUGAAAGCCCCCGGCUCAACCGGGGAGGGUCAUUGGAAGCUGGGAAACUUGAGUGCAGAAGAGGAGAGUGGAAUUCCACGUGUAGCGGUGAAAUGCGUAGAGAUGUGGAGGAACACCAGUGGCGAAGGCGACUCUCUGGUCUGUAACUGACGCUGAGGAGCGAAAGCGUGGGGAGCGAACAGGAUUAGAUACCCCCGUAGUCCCUGUCUCUUAUAA
rnacentral:rRNA from 1 species